rnacentral:tmRNA from 1 species
GGGGGCGAUUUGGAUUCGACGACGGUAACAAAACUUAGUGUGCAUGUCGUGAUGGUAGCCAAUCACGUUAAUCCAAAGCUGCAAACUAUUAGUUGCCAAUGAUGACAACUACGGUGCACAACUGGCUGCGUAAGCAGCUCGUUUAGCACCAUCUGGAGGAUUCGUCCACCAGCGGUCUUUAACAAGGUGCCAGCCCCGCGUUACUGACUGUCAUAUAGAACUGGAUCGCUGUGAAACUCGCCUGAAGUGGAUCUGCUAAAUAUUAUUCAGGAUCGCCAAGUACGUCCUGCCCGUCGGGCUGUAUACGGCUAAAUCAAUUGACGGAAACUAAGCAUGUAGAUCACUAAGCGGCGUACUGGCGGACGCGGGUUCAAUUCCCGCCGCCUCCACCA